CAAAGAAAACACACAAACAAUAAAGUAGGGCAAAACAGAAAUGCUAAUAAGCCCUUCGACUUAGGGUUGAUAAAACCUUAAAACCAGAACAUUCUGCAACCAUUCAAAUCAUUGCUGGUUCGAAGUUGGGGAAACCUAAGCUCAACGGUUCUUGUAACUCCGCAUUGAUAGGAAAAAGGUUACAUUGUGCAUAUUGUGCCAUUAAUUGGUCCACAAGCACCAAGGCUACCAUGGCCUCAACAACAGGCACCGCUGCAUCACCCAAAUCAACACCACAGAUUAAAAUCAUAGCUAUUUGUGAGAUAUUGUUUGGAAGUGAAGGAUAAUAUCAAAUAGCUUAACAUGAUUUUCCAGGGAAUUUAGUUGCCUUGGAAAAAUGGUAGUUGAAAAAGGAAAAUGUAUAGAUACUAAUCUAGGAAAGAUGGUAAAGGAGGAUGGAAAACUAUCAUCCAAAGAAAUACCUCGAGGGGCAACACAAGGAUCAUGACGACCGUGGACUAGUAGUUCUAUCUCUUUUUUCUCACGAGUCACUGUGUGCUGCUUCCUCUGCAGAAAAUAUCACAAAAAGCCACACUAGUUUUAACUGAACUAAGAAAAUAAAUGUAGGAAACAAAUACGCAGGCAAAGAAUAUCGAACUUACACUAAUAGCAGGUGUUGGCUUGAAAGCUACUCUCAUGUUGAUAAUUUCCCCAUUGGAUAUUCCACCCUGUAAGUCAACAUUAAAAUCACAUGAUUUUCGUAUUGAACUAAUGGAUUUAGCCCAAGAAUUAGGAAGUUGGAGAAUAAAAGCAAACCAGCUUGUAUUUGUUGCAUUGGUUAUUGGCAAGUAUGUAUUCCAACAUGAUUAUCUUAAAUUUUCUUAAUGUUUUUCCAUGUACUCGAUAGGUCAUAUCCCCAUACCAUGUUUGUGUAUGUGCUGGACAUUGGUGUUCGACGUGGGCAGGUAAUGAAGAGUUAAAUCGACAUAGAUAACGAAUAAAACAAACACCUGUAUCCCACCGGAGCGAUUUGUUCUUGUCCUUAUUCUUCCAUGUUCAUCAGUAUAGAACUCAUCAUUAUGUUCACUACCGGUCAGAAAAGCACCUGCAAGGGAUUUUUUUGGACAGCAUUUAGAACAAACUUACAAUGCAACUAAGCUGCAAAAUUACCACACAAACCAUUGACCAACUCAAUUCAAAAAUGAUUUAGGGAAAUUAAACAGUAGUACCACAAAAGUACAAAAAUUUCUUAACCUGAAAAUCCACUCCCAAGUUCAAAGCCUUUAGAUGCUGGUACUGACAUUACAGCCUUAGCAAGCUCUGCUUCAAGCUUAUCAAAAACUGGUGAACCAAGCCCCUGAAUACAAGAAUAUAUAUUUUCAGUUCUAUAGAAAACUUCCAGGAGACUUUGGAUGGUAAAAUUAAAGCAUUUCCUUCAUGUUAAGGCCAAGGGCUACCUAAAUUUUCAAUCUAAACAUGUGCAUAUGUGAGAGACAUAGAAUGUACAUACACGCGGAGCAUUCCUCACUAUGCACGUGACAACACCGCCAACGGAAUCUCCUUUUAUCCGCACAGCAUCGAUAGCAGCUAUCAUUUUCUCAGCGUAUUCAGGAUUUGGGCACCUUACAAUAUUGCUCUCUAUCUGAAAACAUGUAAUUGAAAGUAGUUAGACGAUGGCUACAAUAAAUUGGUCAGAAAUAAAAGGAAGUCAACAUUCUAGACAAUGUGAGCGAAAGUUGACCAAAAUGCAUAAUUUAUCUCAAGAUAUAUUGAGGAAAAUUCUCUGGUAACUAACAACUUGUUUUAGAUCAAGACUUAAAUAACUGAAAGAAGAGUUUAAACCUGGUCAAGAGUUACAGUGUCAUGGUCAACUGACCCAUCUGGAAGAAGAACCUGCUGAACUUGAGAGACAUAGGCAAGAACCUGAAAGACAAGACAGACAAUAUGAAGAAACUCAAAAAAUAAAGACAUAAAACUCAGUAACAGAAGUAGAAUCCACAUCCCCAUUCAUUUGAAGCUUGAAACAUAGUUGAAGGCUUAAAACUGUGUUGUGCUUAUUCUAAACAUCCAUUCGAAACAAAACAGAUGCUUUCAACGUUAUUCAGAGAAAAGAGUAGUGAACUAAAAACAACAUGUACAACAAGAUUAAAUGAUCAAAAUUUCAACCUGACUGGCUUGAGACAUACCUCAGUUCCUGAAAACUGCUUGAGAAUUUUCUUAGCAAUAGCUCCAGAGGCAACUCUUCCAAUGGUUUCUCUGGCUGAUGAUCUGCCACCACCCUUCAAUUACAAGUUCAGUUCAGAUGACUGGGUCCAAACAUCUCUGCUUCUCUUAAGAAUUGAUGGAAGAAAUUGAAACAUUGGGUUGAUAAUAAAGGGCAUUACCUGCACUGCCCUGACACCAUAUUUCAUAUCAUAAGUGGCAUCAGCAUGAGAUGGCCUAUAAGCUAUUGACAUUUCCUUGUAAUCCUGAAAGUAGAAUGGCAUCAUCAAUGAAUCCUUCUAGUCCCAUAAGAAAAAAGAAUGAAUCCAAAAUUGAGCAAAUGUUUGCCAUAUUAUAUGUAUGUUUUCCUUUCUGACAUAUUAAAGUCACAAUCCUUAGCUGAAAGGGGAUUCACUAGAUUGCACUCCAAAGUAGUACAUAUUUUCACAUUAUCUAACCAGCGAAUACCGUUUAUAUAGCUGCAUCGUUUGAUUCAUUGAUGAGCUCUCAUUAUAGACCUGAUAACAUAUAAUACUCACUUGUUCUCUGUGAUCAGUAUUUGGUACAAGUACAUGUAUUGGUGUUCCAGUAGUCACUCCUGCAGUUUGUCAUGAAAAGUUUAGUUAAACACAAAAUAUAAACAGUGAUAUUAAACAGAAGAUCAAAGGGAAAAGAAGAUUUAACCUUCAGAAACUCCAGAAUAUAUUCGGCAUGUGUCUGUCUCUUUCCUUGGGGUAGUAACUCGGCUCUGACCUGGCCUCCUGCAGAAAUAUCUUGACUGUUAAUCCAAAAUAACAAAAAAAAUUACAGCAAAGAGAUGAGAAAUUAUAUUAUCAAAGUUGUAUCAUUAAUAGGCCAAUCAUGUUUACAAGCACUACCACUAGAUCAAUGUGCAAUGAACAUGAACCACACAGCGCUACCACGAGGAUGCACAAACCUUUUCUAAAGGCAAGCACAAGAAAGAAUCAAGUACCUUCGGUCAAGAUCACCUUGCAAAUCAGCUUCUGAGAGAGGAAUCCUAGGAGGACAUCCAUCAACUAUACAACCAACACCACCUCCAUUAGAUUCUCCAAAUGUUGUAACACGGAAAUAAUUUCCAAAUGUGCUCCCAGCUGCUUGUAUCUCUGUUAGGUAGUACAGUUUGUCAGACUUAUGAUCAAACAAAAAUAGCAUUUCAAUGUAAUUUACAGACACCCCAAGAUGUCUCGGCCUAGUGGCAAUAUGUUACCAUCAACCUUAAUGAUAAGAUUCUAAUCAGAUCAAGCAAGUAACAUUGUAGAUUAACAUGUAUCUCAGCCUAUGGUGUAUAUUGAUCACAAAAGCUCACUCUCAAGACAAAACAAAUGAACAUAACAACGAUAGCUGCUAUUAACAACUGAAUCUACUAUCAAACUUUCGCUACGAAUAAACAGAUUUCAAUGCUGACACAAAUAUCGAUUAAGUCCACGCUUGUGACCAUCUAUAAACUAUACAUAAACACGUAGGAUGCUCACCUUUUUUUUCCUUUUGCAAUUUAGUAAUGGUUAAAUUCUAGUUUUAGUCCCUCCUAUUAUGUCUAUAUUUGAGAUUUGAUCUUUAUACUUUAAUUUCUAAUAUAAUUCGAUCCUUAUAUUUUUAUGUUGUUAUUAAUUAAAUUUUAGUUUUAGUCCCUUUAUUAUGUCUAAAUUUGAAAUUUAAUUUCUAAUAUAACUUGGUCUCUAUAUUUUUAUAAUUUUAUUAAUUAGUCGAAAUAGUUAAUAUCAUUUAACUUUUUGAUUAAAAUAUUACAUGGUUAUAUAUAAUUUGAAUGUUUUGGGAGUCUUAAAGACUAACAUGUGGCAUUCUCAUUUCUUUUAGGUUUAAAUUUUUUUUUUACAUUAUAAGACUAUUGUUAAUUCAAUUUUGACCCCUAAACUAUUUUAAAACUUGAGUUUUAACCUAUAUAUUUCAAAUUUUGAUAGAUUUUGGUCCCCUGCUUUUAUAAUGUUAUUAGUAAAUAUAAAUAAUUAAUAUUGUUAACUAUUUCAAUAAAAAUGUUAAUAACAUUUUUUUUCCUUAAGAAUACUAUUCCAACAGGGAAAAUGGUUUUACCAUGAUAAGUUCUAGAGAUGAGCAUGGGCCAGGCUGAGCCCGACGAAAAAUUUAAGCACGUUUGCUAGGCCCAACCCGAACCCGGCCUGAAAAGUGGGCCUAAAAUUUUGUCCAAGCUCGAACUAGAUAAAAAUGCUAAAACCUGGGCCCGCCCAUAUUAAUUUUUAUAUUAUUUUUAUAUAAUUUUAAAAUAUAUAUAAUACAUCAAAAAUAUUAUAAACAGCAAAAUAAGUAUUUCCUAACAAAUUGAAAAUAAAUUUUAAAUAAUAUGUAUACUUAAAUAACAUUAAGAUAGAUGCAACUUAACAAGCAAAUGUCUCUAAAAUAAUAACAAAAUUGACAAAUAUCUUUAAAAUAAUAACAAAAUUAACAAUAAAAUAAGCUUUAAUUAAAUGAUAAAUUUAAAAUUUUACUAACCCAAUUAGUUUGGGUUAUAUUUUUAUUUUUUAAUAAAAAUUAAUUACUCUUAAAUAAAAUAAUUUAUUUUAAUUAUGAAAAGAUAUUUAUGUAAUUUCUUAAAAAAGUUGAUAACACAAACUCAUUAAAACAGUUAAUAAAUAAUAUAGAUAAAAAGAGUAAUAUUGCAAAUUACAACAACAACAAAAAAAACAAAUUUGAAGUUAAUAACUACUUAAGUCCCUAGAAAGUAGUAAUAUUGCAAAUUACGACAAAAAAAAACAUACAAAUUUGAAGUUAAUAACUACUUAGGUCCCUACAAUGUAGUAAUCCUGCAAAUCACAACAGAAACAUACACAUUUGAAGUUAAUAACUACUUAAGUCCCUAGAAAGUAGUAAUCUUGCAAAGAAACUCGACAAAAUAAUAAUAAAAAAGAAACUCAAAUAACAAAUCUUACGAAGCUUUUUGUGGGUUCUUGGUUUGAUUGAGAUGCGAAGAGAGGGAAAAUGAAGUCUUUGAAGGUCAGGAUAAAGAGAAGAAUUGGGUUUAGUAGCUCUAAGGAAAGGCUUGCAUAUAAUGGAAGAAGCCAUGAAAGCUUAGAAACCAGAAACAGAGUAGAGGUUGAAAGAGAUGAAGAAGAGAUUGAGGUAAUAAAAAUGUCAGAUUUGGUAAAAGGAGGAGGAUUUUGAGAAUGGGGGUUGUGAUUCUAUAGUUUAUAUAAUUUGGAUCUAACAGUAGAGUGAAACUCAUUUUAGGUAUUUUACACAUCAAAGUUGAAAGUUGAAACUUCUUUUUUAGGUAGUUUUUUUUAAAAAAAAUUUAGGCUUAAUUUUACCCUUGCAAGUCACGUAUAUUUUUAAUAAUAUUUCCUUAUUUAAAUAUAAUUUUACUUUAUAUGUUAUAAACUAUUUAAAAAUUUCAAAAAUAUAUAAAAAAUUAUAAAAAUUCAAAUAAAUUCCUAAUUUCUAGGAUUUCAGUUUCUUCCAAGUUCAUGGGAAUUUCUAAAAAAAAGUUUCCCAGUUCCAAAAUCUAAAAAUUCUGCAAAGAGAAAAACCAUCGAUUUCAAGAUGAAGUCCUCAAUUAUCAACGAAAAACCACAAAAAAAGAAUCCUUCAUAUCAUCCUUCAACACAAGAAACCAUAAUCCUAAAAACACUAAACUACACUCAUGAUUAUUUAAAAUAGAGUCUUAUCUUAUUUUAAUUACUUAAAAAAAUUAAUUUAAUCACUUUAAAAAAAAUAAUUGUAUAAAUUAAUCACUCAUAAUUUUUUUAUUCUUUUAUAAAAGUUUAGAAAUCUCCUAUAAUUAGUCUGAGAAUUUUUUUGGACUAAAACAUUUUCCCUAAGUUUUAGGUAGGUCCCUGAGUUUUAAUCAAUUGUCAAUAAAAAAUACAUUUAAAUUAUUUAAUAGGCUAAUGUGUCGUAUUAAAUUAAGGAAAAAGAAAAUACAAAGAAAAUAAAUCGGGCUUGGUCUUUGUUGAGUAUUUAGUUUCGAUUACGGGAUUUGCAGGGCUUUUCAGUUAAAUCUACUCCGAUCAAAUAGAAUCGGAUGAGGAAGCUUUUGGUGCCUCAUUUUGCCAGAGACGGUGCCAACGGCAACAGACUACACUUGCAGACCAUGGCUGCUAUUUAUUUUUUGGCUGUUAAUAAUGUAACGGAUUCCGUCCAAAUCUGAUCUAUUUGAAAACAAUUGUAACGGUAAGGGUGCAAUUGACCAAAAAAAAAGCAUUAGGGAUUAAUUGCAGAAAUAUGCAAACAUUAUGGGCAAAAUUUGGAAUUAAGCCUAUAAUUUAUUACGUUGCGUAUUCCAAGGCUUGAGUUGACAACUCAUUUAUAUGAUUCAUAUAAAACGAAAAAAAGGACAAACAGGAAAACAACGAUGUAGGACAGCUCUCGAAUCUCAAUGCAUUUGAAAGGAUUAAGGGGUAAUUUAGAUUGUACGGGGACAACUCUCUCAUUUUAAUUAGGGUAAAUUAUACAAAAUUAUUAAAUUAUUAAUAAAUUGAUUUUUAAUCAUUAACUUUAAAAAAUUAUAAAAGUAGUAAUUAAAUUAUUUAAAAAAUUUUAUUUAAAUUAUUGGGCUGAUAAAAUUAAUGAUGUAUGACAUUCUCUCUUCGCAUUACAUUCACCAAUCAAAAACUCUUCUUUCAUUUCUUUUCUAUGAUUAAGUUGUUUUUUUUAUAAAAAAAUUUUGAACGUCACGAAUUUAUAAAAUAAAAUCUAAACAAUUUUCUUAUAUGAUCUCCGACACGAACUAUUAAAUUGACUUGGAUCUAAGAUAUAUGUUCUUCUACUCAUCGAUAGAUAUUGAUCCGCAAUAUUAAUAAUUGAAUUGUUACUUAGAGCUUGUUAGUUAAAUUUAAAAAAAUUAACAACUUAAUUACUUAAAUAAAAUUUUUUAAAUAAUUUAAUAAUUAUUCUAUAAUUUAUUUUAAAUUGAGUGAUUAAAACAUAAAUUUAUUAAUAAUCUAAACCUAUAUAUAUUUUAACCAUGAGGAAAUGAGAAAAGGUGGUCCCCAGACUUUCUCAUCAUGUUUUUCCUUGGAAAGCUUGAAAUUCUUUUUCCUCAAUAAUGUUUUUAUUCAAUGUUUGAUUUGAUAUAUAUAUAUUUAUGAUUAAAAAAAAAGCUUAAUUAGCAGGAAACCUUCAACUAUAUAUAUUAUUUUAGCAUUUAAAAUAUUUUUAAUCAAAUUAAAUACCUAAUUUUAUUUCGGUAACCAAUAUUAAUAUCUGCCAUUACAUCCAUUAAAACAAACCUUGCACUCAAUUAAGAAACGACACAGUGGUGGAGCUAGCCACUUAAAAUGGAAAUUUAGAUUAUUUAUAAUUUAUAAAAUUUUAAAUUAAUAAUAAAAUUAUACUUUAACUCUUUAAUAAUAAUAAAAAUUUAAUUUAAUUCUCUAAAAAUUAGAAAUAUAUAUUAAAAUAGUAAAAUUAUAAUUUUACUAAUAUAAAAAUAUACCAUUUAAUUUUGACUUCACCACUACAUAUCAUUAAAAAAUCUAAAUUACUAAGUUAUUAUUAAUUUUAAAUAAAAGAAAAACCCUCACCCUCCAGCUCCAGCACCUGCUCGAAAAAAGGACAUUUAUUUUCUGACCGCUUUGUUGUCGUUUUGUUCUGUUUUGUUUUAGUGGUUCAAUCAAGUACUUUGGGAUGAAUCUGUCGGUUUCUUCACCAUAUCUAUAUGUACCUGUUAUCUUCAUUAUUAUCUGUUUCAUUCAAAUCUAGAAAUAUAUUUUUUGUAGAUAUAUUUGUGAUGGAAAUCUUUUCUAGCGUGCUUAAAAUGAAUACCAGAAAAAGAAAAAAUCUCUCCAUAGAAAAAAGUAGAUAUCAUUCACUGUUUCACAUAUACUCCUUGAUGAAUAUUUUAGAGAAUAUAGGGAGAGAGGUGGAGGAGAGAAGAUUUUUAUUUUAUUUAAUAUUAAUACAUAUUAUUUAUUUAAUUAUUUUUUUAUAAUGUUUAGUUUAAUUACUUAGUUUUUUUUAUGAGAUAAUUAGCUGGAUUUUAUUCAUUUAUUCAAAAAUAAAGUCUAAACAAUGUAACACUUUAAACUCAGCUUAGGCGUUCAGUCCAAGUUUAGAGAGUUACAUUAUUAAUACUCAAAUACUACACAAAACACAAUAAUACCAAACCAUGAUUCACAUAAAAUUUAACACAAAGAUUAGUUAGGCACAUAAUCUUCCAAAGUCAUACUACUAUAGUUUACCGAAACUCCUAUAAAAAUAUUUUAAAGAAAGCUAAAAGCUCGACCGAACUCCCGCAGCAUCGACCCGUUCAAUUUUGCGAACCACCUGAAAUCCAAGAAUAACAUAAUAAGUUGUGAACUUAGUGCGUAAAAGAAGUUUGUCCAGUAAAAGCUCACUCAGAAAAUAGUUCCGAAUUCAGAAAUUCGGUUCGACACAGAAGUAAUCUCAGUUCAGAUUCAGAGUAGAUUGAUUACAUAUAUAUAUAUGCAAUUUCGGUUUCAUAUACCAUGCAGAUCAGAUUCAGAUGCAAUAUUCCUACCCCAUCCACUACACACCGUCUUCGGCCAUCCUAACACACUGUUAAGGACAUUCAAUGCCCAACCAACCCUACACACUUAGAGUGUCUGUUUGACACUUUAUAGAUAUGCAGCUUAGCUGCUAGACUAGAUUGCGACAAAGCGCCAGAAUCAGAUUUAUACGUAUUUUGGCGUAGCCACCAAUUCAGAACCGAUUACUUCCUUCUUCACAAUAUCCCCACCCAUGCAAAUACGGAGCACAAAUACUUGUAUCAUGUAUUCAGUCAUUCUAAUUUAUUUCACAAAUAAAUAACACCAAGAUACAUGUCUUAGUAUUCAUACAACUAUGUUACUCCCCAUUCAGUCUCAGAAUAUCAAACAAUUCUCAUAUAACGGAAUUCAUACAAUGAGGUUACUAGUAUCAGUGCUAACUAACAUUUACGACCCCAAAAUAGGUUUCGGGCCCCAAUAACAUGUCACACGGCUUGUCACACACCAGUGUGCCUUGCCUGUAUGGUUCUGAAGCAUAAACAGUGGGUUACACGGCCUGGACACACAUCUAUAUGACUCACACGGCCUAGUUACAUGCCCAUCUCUCUGGCCGUACGAUUUUAUUCCACACACAGUGCGUUACACGGCAAAGACGCAUGCCUGUGUGCCUUGCCUGUAUGGUUCUGAACCACAAACAAUGAGUUACACAGCUCCAACACACGCCCGUGUUCGUUGCCCGUGUAAUGCCUGCACUAAUAUGGUCACACAUGGCCUAGACACACGCUCAUAUCCUUACUCGUGUAGCCUCAAAUCGAUAAACAGUGAGUUACACGGCCAACCACAUGGCCGUGUGGCUCUCACGGUCUGGACGCACUCCCAUGUGGUGUCAACAACCACUAUUUUCUGCGACCAAAACUUGCAAAAAUUAAGGUUUCUGAUACGCACCUCAUUUCGUUUGACAGAAAAACAAUGCGGAGACUAUUCGGAACCUAAUUAACCAUUCAAUAAUCAAUUACACCAUCGUUUUCAAUAUUUUAUUGAAAUCACUUACCAUCAAGAACACGUCGAAAGUUUCGAUACAACCCAACUCAAAUCGCAUACUUACCUUGCACGAAAUAGAGGAAAUCAGACUAACACGGCAGAGUCACGUCUCUGGUAAUAUCCUCGCCUAAAAAGUAACCAAUCGAGUGUUUAACAGAAUGUCAAGCAAACGAGCAAAAUCUAGUUUCGACAGAAUAGUGUUAACACAACGAAAAAUGUAAAACGAAAAGAAUUAACUACGAAACUUACACAAUAUCGACCUCACAGGCAAUAAAUAAUUCCCAAUUCACGCAAAAAAAUCAAUUGUAGUAAGAAGAAAAAUAAAAGAAAGGAAGAACAGGAACACAAUGAACCAAAAUUUAGAAAAAAAAAGGAAAAAGAACGAUAGAAUUUCUUCAGAAUGUUUUAAAUUAACCACCAUCCCACCUUCCGGCAUUUGCAAAAAAAAAAAUUCCUAACGCAUACAAUGAGACUUGAACUCGGAACUAGACAGAAUAUAGAUAGAUACUUAACCAAUUAACCAGUAGGCUUAUUCUUGACACCGAUUUACCCAAAAUUGCACUUAACUACAUAACACACGGAUAAAAGUUGUUUUAAAAAUAACAAAACUUUUAGUAACGUAACUCAAAUUCCCAACCUUAAACACAAAAGCAGAGCACAAAACCAUAGAUACAAAAUUUCAAUUACUGCAGAUUCUCACAAUUAAACUCUUAAAUUUUUUGGGCGUUACAACUCUCACUCCCUAAAAAAAAUUUUAGCCUAGAAAUUUUACCUGACUCAUAAAGAUAUGGAUACAGCCGUUAGAUUGCUUCUUUGGGUUUUCAUGUGGCUUCCUUAAUACCGUGGUUCCUUUAUAAAAGUUUUACUAGAGGAACAAUUUUCUUCCUCAGUACCUUAACAUCACGUUCCAAAAUCUGGACAGGUUCCUCCUCAAAUGUUAAACCUGGUUGCAACUCAAUCUCGUCGACAAGAAUAAUAUGUGACAAAUUCGACUGACACCGUCUCAGCAUCAAGACAUGAAACACAUUAUGAAUUCGAUCCAACUCUAGCGGUAAUUCCAAUUGGUAUACAACGGGUCGACACGCUUUAAGAUACGGUAAGACCCAACAAACCUCGAGCUUAGCUUGCCCUUGCAUCAAAAUUGGAGGACAUUUUUCCACGAUAAGACUCUCAGAAAAACUUGAUCACCAACAGAAAACUCGAUGUCUUUUCUUUUUAAAUCAGCAUAAGAAUUAUGCCAAUCAGAUGCGGCUUUCAGAUGGUCUCGAAUUGCUUUAACAGUAUUUUCAAUUUCAAAAACUAACUCAGGACCCAGAAGUCGACGUUCGCUUAUUUUUGUCCAAUAUAAUGGAGUACGGCACCUAUGACCAUACAAAGCUUCGUAUGGUGCCAUCUGAAUACUAGACUAAAAGCUGUUAUUGUAUGCAAACUCCACUAACGGUAGAUACUCCUCCCAACUACCCUUGAAGUCUAUCACACAACCUCAAAGCAUAUCCUCUAAGAUCUGAAUAACUUGCUCCAGCUGUCCGUUGGUCUGAGGGUGGUACGCAGUGUUGAAAUUAAGUUGAAUGUCUAAAACCUCAUGGAGUUUCUUCUAGAAUCGAGACAUAAAUCGAGGAUCUCUGUCAAAUAUGAUUGAGACCGGAUUUUAUGUAGCCUUAAAAUUUCGGUGAUGUACAGUUUAGCCAACUUAUGUAAUGAGUAAUCUGUCUGGAUAGGUAUGUAGUAGGUUGAUUUGGUCAAUCGAUCAACGAUGACCCAAAUCGAAUCUUUCUUAGUAGGGGUUAAAGGCAACCCACUAACAAAAUUUAUUGAUAUCUGUUAUCACUUCCACUAAGUAAUUUUAACUAGCUGAAGCAAUCCGGAUGGCAACUGAUGUUUGGCCUUAACCUUUUGAGACGUCAGACAGUAGGACACAAAAGCGAUUAUAUCCGAUUUCAAUCCAGGCCACUAGUAAAGCUUUCAAAGAUCCCGAUACAUUUUGUUCCUACCAGGAUGCAUAGCAUAGGACUACUAUGUGCCUCCUGAAAGAUCGAACGUCUCAGCUCUCUAUCAUUAGGUACACAAAUCGAUCUUUAAAGCACAAUACGUUAUCGUUGUUCAAGCUAAAAUUAGAAGUCUUAUUCGAAUCAACAUGAUGCAGACAUUGAACUAAAGACUCAUCGCUCAACUGUUUAGCUCUAAUCUGCUCCACCCAAAUUGGUUUUACUUGUAAUUCAGCCAACAGCCCUCCAUUGCAACUCCCCAAAAUUUUUUUUCCGGCAUUUGUAAAUUUUUGACAACUAAGUAUCUACUUCAGUGGUUAAGUGUUCUGGGUGUGUGUGGGAGGUCCCAAGUUUAAGCCCUGCAUAUUAAUUCUUUAGAAAUUUUAGUUAAUUUUGGAAAUAAGCCCUAACUGUGUUCAAUGGGCUUAUAUUAAUUCUUCGUAAUUUCACAUUUGAAUGGGCUAGCUGGUCUGGUGGUUAAGAUGUGUGUUGGUGUGUUGGAGGUUUGGAGUUUGAAUCCCUGCGUGAACAAGAAUGUUAUUUUUGCUUGUUUGACUGAGAGAGUUUUGGUCAAACUAAAAGUCUGAGAAGUGAAUUAGUGGGAGAAAAAUAUGAGAUUUGGGAGUUAUUUCAAAUUAAUUUUGAUUUCUUUUCCCAAAAUUUUCUCUCUUUUCUAAAAACAAUUGACGUCAGUUUCUCUGCUCCCUUUCUCUUAAAUUUCAUGCUAUUCCCAAUUCUGUUGAUUUUCCUGUGGAGUUCCUGUGUUCUUAAAUUUUCGUUAUCCAUCAUUUCGGUAAGUGGAUUUUUGAUACUUUGUAAGUUGGGAUGUUAAAAUUUUAACUGGGGUUAUAUUGACGUUAUUAACAGCAACACAUCGCGAGGAUUAAGGCUCUCAUCAUACUAUUUCGUAGCGAAUCGAUUUGAAGUUUUGCGGUAAGUGUUCAUCGCUUUAGGGAUGAGUAUUUUGGUUUCAGGAUUUUGAUUAAUCACAAAGUAAGACUAAUUAUGGUGUUGGAUUGGUUAAUAUUUAGAUUAUGGAGUGCUCAGAAUUUGGUUUAGCUUCAAACAAACAAGGUGUGUACCCGAAACGCAAAAAACAAGAUUCGUCAAAAAGCUAAAAAAGUUAACUGUCAACGCCACACGGGCGUGUAGUCACCCAUAUGGCAGGCUGUGUGAUGGAACACAAACGUGUGGGCCCAUACGGGUGAAACCACAAGGGCGUGUGGGAUUCUAAACUAGGCUGUGUGAUCCACAAGGGCGUGUGGGCCCACACGAGCAGGCCACAUGGGCGUGUGAGCCCAUUUUUUGAAAAUAUUCUGUAAGGUUGCACGGGUCGCCCUAGUUGACUUGUGGACCUACUGUAGGGUCGGUAAGCUUUACUUAGACCCCUCAUUAUGUGAUCUGUCUGUAUGAAAUCUAAACUGAGCAUGUAUGCUGAUCUGAAUGUAUGGACUGUAACUGCAUAAUAGCAUGACAUCUUUUGUAUGUUGCAUUGCAUCGGGGUGAGUUAUUGUUAUUUGGAGAAAGUAUUUGAAAGGCUAUCAAGCCUGUUAUCUGGCAGCUCUGCUACAAAUUUCUGAUUAUGUGUCGCAUUUUGGUACAGCAUGGUGUGUAGGGAUGGGUGGGUUGAUUUAAUCCCCACAAGAUGUGUGGGGAUGGACGGAGAUGGUGUGUAGAGGCUGGUGGGUAGGAUUCUGAUUUUCUAUUAUUGCAUACUAUUUUUUAUGGGGCUAAGACUCAAACUGAAUCUGUAAUGGGUUCAGGCCUAGCCUAUAUGUGACUAUAUUUUGAUGUGUAUCUGUAUGCAUGUUUUUGUGAGGAUUAUACACUGAGUUUACGAAAACUCACCCUUUUUGUUUAAUCUAUACAGGUAAUCUCCAGACUUGACAGAUCAGCGCAGUAGAGGACUCGAUGCUGACCACAUGUAAAUCUAGACUGAUUUUUACAAAUUUUCAGAUUUUAUUAUUAUUUGAGGUUUUUAUGUAGCCUAUGGAUUUUGGACUGUUUGGUUUAAGUUUGUGACUUUUUAUUUGUUUUACGAUUUAUUAUUGUUAAGCAUUAUAUAACUCAGUCUUCGCUAAGAACAAGUGGUACUUUUUAAAAUAAGUGUUUUCUAAAGCUUCUGCUUAAAAGAUAAGAUUUUAGACAUAAUGAAUAACAUGUGUUUUACCUUGAACUAAGAUACAAGCUAAUUCAAUUGGAAUGGUUUUAACUCGACAAAUUAGUUUUCAACUUCCAUUCCAUGUAACAUCCCCAGAUUUGACCAUAACGUCUAGGCCGGGUUUGGGGUGUUACAUCAAUCCUCAACCAAACUCAAACGAGCUAACAUUACUCUCAGAUCAGUCAUCUCUCUACAACUAAGGGCAUCAGCUACCACAUUAGUAUUACUUGGAUGAUACUCUAUCUUGCAAUCAUAAUCUUUAAGUAACUCAAUCCAUCGGUGCUUCAAAGAUUUUUUUUUUUGGUUAACAAAUAUUUGAGACUCUUAUAAUCAGUGUAAAUAAUACACAUUUCACCAUACAAAUAGUGUCUCCAGAUUUUUAGAGCAAACAUAAUUGCAGCUAGCUCAAGAUCGUGCGCAAGGUAGUUGCCCUCGUGUGUCUUGAGCUUCCGCGACUCAUAAACGACCACCAUACCGUCUUGCAUAAGCACACAUCCUAACCUGAUAUGUAAAGCAUCACUGUAUACUACAAACUCCUGACCCGAUUCUAGUUGAACUAAGACAGGAGCCUGUGUCAGAAUGGACUUGAGCUUAUCAAAACUACGCUGUUGUGCCUCAGACCACACAAAUGGAGCAUUAUUACGCAAUAGUUUCGUCAGAGGUGACGUAAUCAGAGCAAGUCCUUCAACGAACAUUCGAUAAUAACCUGCUAAACCUAAGAAACUACGAAGCUCAGAUACAUUUCUCGGUUGUUUCCACUCAACAAUAGCUUCUAUCUUCUUGGGAUCAACUCGGAUUCCCUCCACCAUCACUACAUGACUCAGGAAAGUGACUUUCUGCAACCAAAACUUGCACUUACUAAACUUGGCAUACAACUAUUUUUCUUAGAGUAUCUGAAGUACAAUGCGAAUAUGAUCAUCAUGCUCAGUUUCAGUUUUAGAGUAGAUCAGGAUAUCAUCGAUAAAAACCAUUACAAAUUGAUCCAAGUAUGGUUGGAACACCCGAUUCAUUAAAUCCAUAAAUGUCGCCAGGGAAUUCGUUAAACUGAAAGGCAUUACCACAAACUCGUAAAAUCCGCAACGAGUCCUGAAGGUAAUUUUGUACACAUCAGUCUUUAGAAAAGACAGAUGCUCCUCGAAACUGGUCGAACAAGUCGUUAAUCCUCAGUAACGGGUACUUAUUCUUGAUUGUCAACUUGUUCAACUGUCUAUAAUCUAUGCACAUUCUCAUCGACCAAUCUUUCUUCUUAACAAACAAUACCGUACCUCUCAUGUAGACACACUCGGUCGAAUAAAUCCUCUAUCAAUGAGUUCUUAAAGCUAUGCUUUUAACUCGGUCAGCUCUUUCGGUGCCAUGCAGUAGGGCGCAAUGGACACUGGAGUAGUACCUGGUAACAAAUUAAUUCCAAACUCUACCUCUCUAUUAAGAGGUACUCUUGGCAAUUCCUCAGGAAAGAUGUCCGAAAACUCCCUCACGGUGCGGAUAUCCCCAUUAAAAGUUUUGCGAAAAUGGAAUCGGAUACGUAAGUAAGGUACGCUGUGCACUACUUUCUAACUAACUUUUCUGCUAUAAGAGCAGAGAUUACCAUGUCUCUAUUGUUACACGGUUAUCACACAAUGCAUGUUCUCCGGAUUCCUCUUCUACAAAUCUAGGACAUGAUGUUGAUGCUAAUCUUUUAUAUUAUAGAUUACAUAGGGUAAGGAAGAAAUUCAUGGAAAAACUCUAUACUGCAAUCUUCAAUCAUGAGGACAAAUUCAGUCCCUAUAAUUUUUUUGUAAAAAUCUAUAUAUGCAUUCUAGUUGUAUAGAUGGUUAGGAUCCAUAGUCUCUUGUAACAGAAGCUUAUAGGCACUUCGAACUAAAUAUUCUCUUGAAGCCUCUCCUUUCCACACCUGGUAGCCCUCAUACAAAUAUCUCACCAAUGGAAUACUCAAGAUCCUGCUAGCAUCACUUUCGCAGAAGGUAUUAUUUAUAAGAUCUUCUUUCCAUCUUUUUGUAUAAUAGUCGAUUAGAUCUGCCACCAUAGUUUUGUUCUAGAUAAUUCAGAUACAUAUAAAAUAUUAGACAUGUAUACGGUUUCAGUUCAGUUACAGAAUCAAAUGCAAUUUCAGAUAGAUAUUCAAAUCUUACCCCCAUCCACUACACACUAUCUCCGUCCAUCCUUACACACCAAUUCGGGUAUUAAAUACCCCUCUAACCCCACACACCUAUAAGUGAGCAUAUACACUUUUUAGAAUAGUACAGGCAAGCUGUCAAAUAUAAAAUCCGGUAAUUCGCCAGAAACAUAUAAGUGUGGUUAAGCCACUAGUACGAUAAUGUGGUUUAACCACCAGAUAAGGCAGAUUAUUAAACUACCAAUAUUUCCUCUAUCACAUCAUUACCCCACCCUAAUACACAUGUACAUACUAACAGAUAUCAAAUGCACAAUUUUCAUACAUGCAUUUCACAUCAAAACAUGCUAUCAGAACUAUCAGAUUACAGAUCAUAUACGAAAUUCGUAGUUUAGUCAUGCUAUAGUAAUUAAAACACAUACAAUAACCAUACCACAUCCAGUAGUAAUAUAUCAUAUUUUAUGUUUCAGUCAUUUUUAUAUAGUACGGAUCCUACAGAGUGGCUAAAUACGAAUUGCACAUCAAUACGACCCUAGGUAAAAGUUUUUAGAAAAUUAGCCCAUACGCCCGUGUGGCUCACACGGUCUGGAAAAUGGCCUGUCACACGGCGAUCCACAUGGUUGUGUGAUAUUAACAGCCACUUUUCAUUUUCGAACCGUUAGUUUUUUUUCGAGUUUUUUCUUACAACCUGGUCUAUUUUCCGAUAUGAACUCAACGAUGAUAUUUCUAAUACCUAAAAUUGACAUUCAACUAAUUUUAUUAGCAACCAAAACUGAGAUACAACCCUUGCCUUCUUAAAACUUAAGCCUAAAUUAAUAGGUACUUGGCCUUAACACCAAAUCGAUCACUUAUCUUAGGGAAAACAAGAGCCUAAAAUGGUGCCUAGGUCGCCAAAGAGACGUACGCACCACCUUCUUCUCCUAUCAGAAAAUCAAAACGAUUAAUAACGAAUAUUACAAAAUACCAUACCCUAAUUGACAUGCAGAAACAAACUAAUUAAUCUUACCACCAAAGAACACACUUGAAAGACUUACCCGUUAGAAAAUCAAUGACAGAAAAAUGACAAUAGACUAGCAAAGACUCAAAUCGCAAUUUUGGAAAGCCAACAAAAGAAAGAAAAGGGAGAACAACCAAAUCAGAAAAUGGAAAAAAAUGGGAAAAGAGGGACAAUAGGAAGUAUGAGGGAUUUUAGGAUGAUUUUUUGGGAAUUUUUUUAAAAUUUAAUUUAAAAAGAACUACACAUUACCCCUAGUAAAUCUAAUUAGUUAUCCUAUCAGAUUUUUCUUUAGAGUUCAAAUUCUACCCAACCUUCACCACGUGGGCGGCACUACCAGGAAAUAGCAAAAAUAUUCUUAUUUGCACGCGUAAGGAUUUGAACAUAAGAAAAAAAGAUAAGCUAAAACCUUACCACUGAACUAAUAAACUCAUUAUAUCAUUAACUGAGUAAAAAUAAUAUAUAACUCUAAUAUCCAAAGUUAAGGGUUGGGCAAAAAUUAACAAAAUUUAGAGGAAAAAAAAUUAAACCCAAAACUCCACACACACUACUCACAAUGCUUAACCAUUAAACUAGAAUAAAUUACUUGACAAAUACUAACAAUUCAAAAACUAAAAUUUUAAGGCAUUACAUUAUUCUCUAAAUAGAGUAUCUAUGAUAGCUCGUGCAACAUGCAUUAAAAACACAUCAAAAUCUAUAUAAAACAAAUUAUUAGCAUGUAAUAAUAUGUUUAUAAUAUUUUAAACCCACAAAAAUAGCACAAACAUAAACAUGAUAUAAAAACAAGAAUACAUGAACAUGACAAAAUCGACACUAUUACAAUAACUCAUUUUUUUGUGUCAUGUAUCUUUGUGUUAGUUUUUCUUCGUAUUAGUUUUUUUAUCAAUAAUUUAGUAAUAUUCAAUAUAUGUUAUAUUUAAUAAAAAUUUUGGCAUUUUAAUAAUUUUUUUGACUAAUAUGUUAAAAAGGCACUUAAACUAUUCUUUUAGUUAAAUAAGUCAUUAACCUAUGACUUUUACUCAUAAAAGCUCUUGAUCUUAAUAUGAAAGUAAAAGUAUUUUGAAUUUCAAGCUCUUGUCUAAUUUCUUAUUGAGGCAAUAGAAAUUAUAUAGUCUUUAACAACAAUAUUAUCAAAACCAUUUUUAACCAAAAUUAUCUAAUUUCUUAUUGAGGCAAUAGAAAUUAUAUAGUCUUUAACAACAAUAUUAUCGAAACCAUUUUUAACCAAAAUUAGUGGGAUUAUAUUGGAUAAAAAUAUGAAAAAGUUUUAUUUAGAAAAAACAUUGGUUUUUAUUUAUAUAAAAAGAAAAGACUUGCCACCGAUCCUUUGUCUAGGUGUAAUCAAACACUUAAAACAUUUUAAAGAUGAGUUUGCAAAUUCUUUUAAAAAGAUAAUUAUUUGGUUUGUGUUUUGGAAACCAAAGAAAAUUCGAGUUCGGAAUUCGGUUAUGUUUAUGGUAGGUAUUAGCAUCCUCAUAACACCCAAAAAUUGGUACCUCAUUUAAUAUGUUUGAAUAUGAUAAUUAAGUAUGAUCCCAUAAAGUUUUUUUUUAGUACGCAUGCAUUUCAUUAAUUGGAUGAAUUCGAUUUAGAAACUCAAAAGUCUUCAAUUUAUUUUAUUUUAUUUCAAAAAAUCUUUUCACAUAUGACAAUAUUAUUGGACGAGCAUUUAGUAAAGUAGCUUUCGUAAUAGUAUAUAAUAGGGAAAGUUCAAUUUUGAUACUUUAGUGGAAUAACUUCAUGACUAAAUAAUGUUGUAAUUAAUAGACAAAGAGUUGGAACAUAAUUACAAAUUAUUUACACCCUAAUUAUAUAUGUUUGAGUGGUCCCUCCGCUAGCUGCGUAUAAUUUUGAUAGUUUGCAUUACUUGAUGACAUAGAAAGUGUGAAAUGACGAACUAAAGAAAUAGAUUGCAUGUAUCACUAUUUGUAUUAAAUACGUUCUCACUAUGAAAAAAUAGAAUGUCGGUAAUGGCAAUAUAUUGCAAAGAAAAGAGAAAUAAAAAUAAAGAACACACAGAUUUUUACGUUAAAAUCCUUUCAGGAAAAAAUCACAGGCAGAGGAGAAGAAAAUUUACUAUGUCGAAUUCGAAUGAUUUCAAGAGGAAUAUACUAUGUCUAUUAAUAGGCUUGUAAAACCAUAUUCUAAUAGGAGUGUAGUAAGAUUGAAACACAUUAUUCUAAUCAAUAUCAAAUAGGUAGAGUUCAAUAAGGUUUAAAAAACCUUAUUCUAAAAUAAAAUAAAAGAAGUGUAGUUCUAUAUGGAUUUUACUUUUAUUUUAUUUUACCAUUAUAUUUUAUUUAAAUAAGGAUUCGAGUCACUUAAUUCUAACAAUCUCCACCUUGACUUGAAUUCUAAAUGAAUAAGUUCUUCAUCGCGAUCUCUCAACGAACAAGUUCUCCACCUCUUCCAUAAAACCCCUUAAGAGUUUAACUUCAACAAUGAACAACAACCAAGUUUAAGCAUUGGUUAUAGAAAGUGACUUAGUCAUCAUAUCUGUAGGAUUUUUAUGAGUACUAAUUUAGCUCAUAACAAUAUCACCACGAGUAAUAAUAUCACGAACAAAAUGAUACUGAACAUAAAUGUGUUUUGUUCUCUCAUGAAACAUUUGAUCUUUUGUAAGGAAGAUGGCACUUUGACUGUCACAAAAUACUGUACUGCUUUGAAGGUCUUCAUUGAGUUCACUAAAGAGUCCCUUCAACUAAAUAGCUUCUUUACAAGCCUUAGUAACCGCCAUGUACUCAGCUUCAGUGAUAGAAAAAGUGACUGUAGUUUGCAAAGUGGCUUUCCAAUUGAUUGCACAACCUUUGCUUGUAAAGGCAUAACUUGUGAGAGAUCUUCUAUCAAGGUCUCCAGCAAAAUCAACAUCAACAUACCCAAUGACUCCAUCUCUAGUUCUUCCAAACUGUAAGCAAACAUCAGUAGUACCUUGUAAGUAUCUUAAAAUCCACUGAACUGCUUUCCAAUAUUCUUUACCGGGAUUCACCAUGUAUCUGCUAAUUACACUGACUGCAUAUGAUAAAUCUAGAUAUGAACAAACCAUAGCAUAUAUGAGUGAUCCCACUGCACUAGAGUAUGGAACAUGUGACAUGUUCUUAAUCUCAUCAUCUGAUUAUGGAGACAAAGUCAAUGCAAGUCUGAAAUGGGCUGCUAAAGGAAUACUAAAGGGCUUAACACUCUGCAUAUUGAACUUGAAAAGAACUUUCUCAAUGUACCCCUUCUGACUUAGGUACAAUUUACUUACUUUUCUGUCUCUAAUAAUCUCCAUACCAAGUAUCUUCUUUGCUGGUUUUAAAUAUUUCAUCUCAAAUUCUUCACUUAGUUGGGUUUUGACCUUUCUUAUCUCUCCUUUCUCUUUCGCUACUAUCAAUAUGUCAUCAACAUAAAGGAGUAGAUACACAAAAGAACCAUCACUAUUUUUCUUAAAGUAAACACAACUAUCAAAGCUACUUCUUUUGAAAUCAGGAGAAGUUAUAAAGGAAUCAAACCUCUUAUACCACUGUCUUGGUGACUGUUACAAACCGUAAAAGGACUUUUUUAGCAAGUAAACAUAGUCUUCUUUUUCUAAGACUGUAAAACCCUUUGGUUCUUGCAUGUAAAUAUCCUCCUCAAGUUCUCUAUGUAAAAAUACAGUUUUUACAUCUAACUACUCAAACUCCAAAUCAUGCAUGGCCACAAUACCAAGUAAAGAUCGAAUCGAACUAUGCUUCACAACUGGGGAGUACACAUCUGUGAAGUCCUUUCCUAGAAUUUGACUGUAACCCUUUACAACAAGCCUUGUUUUAUAUUUGGGUUCUUCAACUCUUAGAAUCCUUUCUUUCUUUUUAAACACCCAUUUACAACAAACAACCUUUUUACCUUUAGGAAGUUUCACAAGAUCCCAUGUUCUGUUUUUGUGAAAUGAUUCCAUCUCCUCUUGCAUAGCAAAUAUCCACUUUUCUAAGUCUUCACAGUUAACUGCCUCAGAAUAAUUAGAUGACUCUUGGUUUGCAUCUAUAUCUUCAGCCACAUUUAAAGUAUGAGCACGACAUAUUUAUUUGGAGGUUUAAUUUCUCUUCUAGUUCUAUUUUUGGAGAUAGAGUAUUGUGGUUAAAAAGAAACUUUAUUAUGAAUUUUUGUACUAACUUGAGGAGUCAACUCUGUUGUAGAUUUUGGAUUAUUCUGAUACUCUAAUUGCUUUUGAUUUUCUUUACUGGAAAAGUCUUUAAGAGAUAAGCUAGGUAGCAUAGCAGUUUCAUCAAAAACAUCUCUGCUAAUCACAACUUUUCUAUUUUCAGGACAUCAUAAUUUAUACACUUUUACACCAGCUUUAUAACCAAUAAAAACACAUUUAAUGGAUCUCAGUUCCAAUUUUCCAUUACCAACAUGAGCAAAAACAGGACACCUAAAAAUCUUUAAAUCAGAAUAGUUAGCAGGAUUAUCAGACUAUACCUCUUGUGGAGUCUUUUUUCUCAAUGGAAAUGGAUGGAGAUCGAUUGAUCAAAAAACAUGCAGUAGAGGUUGCUUCGGCCUAAAAUGACUUCAGUAAGUUAGCAUUCGACAACAUAUAUUGAACUUUCUUCAUGAUUGUUCUGUUCAUUCGUUCUACAACACUGUUUUGUUGUGAAGUAUGACGAACUGUCAAAUGUCUCACGAUCCCUUCUGACUUGCAUAGUUUAUUAAACUCGUUAGAACAGAACUCUAAGCUAUUGUCUGUGAAGAGCUGUUUAUUUGUUUUCCCAUCUAUUUUUCAAUCAUAGUUUUUCAAGACUUAAAUGCAGAAAACACAUUGCUUUUCUACUUCAGGAAGAAUGCCCAAAUUUUUCUGGAAAAAUCAUCAAUAAAAGUUAGCAUAUAAUUAGCCCCACCUCUCGAAGGCACUUUGGAUGGCCCCCAUAGAUUAGAAUGAAUAUACUUCAACGUUCCCUUCGUGUUAUGGAUUCCUCUGGUGAAUUGAACUCUUUUUUGCUUCCCCAAAACACAGUGCUCAUAGAACUUUAGUUUGCAAAUUCCUUGUCCAUUAAGAAGUCCUCUUUUGCUCAAUUAUGCCAUACCAUUCUCACUCAUAUGCCCUAGGCACAUAUGCCAAAGUUUAGUAAUAUCAUAUCUAACUAGGAAAAGGAAGCCACAGCUGCACCACCAGUAACAGUAGAACCUACAAAACAUAUAACUUGGUAGUCUUUCUCUUGCCUUUCAUCACAACGAGGGAACCUUUGGAAAUCUUCAAAACCCUACUUUCAAUUGUGUAUCUGUACCUUUUUGCAUCAAGAACACUUAACGAAAUUAAAUUUCUCUUUAAUUCUGGAACAUGUCGCACGUCAUUAAGUGUUUUGACAACUCCGUCAAAUAUCUUAACUUUAAUCGUUCCAACACCUACAAUUUUACACGAAGUAUUAUUUCCCAUCAAAAUAACAUCUUCAAACACUAUUUCAUAAGUUGUAAACCAAUCCCUAUUUAGACUCAUGUGGAAGGUGCAGCCUGAAUCAAGGAUCCACUCAUUGCUCACUUUAGAUUUGUUGAUAGAAGCAACUAGAAGUUUACCAUCCCUAUAGACUUCUACAACAUCAGCUUCACCGGAUUUUUCUAGUUAUUUUCCUUUUUUAUUUGCAGCCUCCCUUUUGAUCUUAUUCUGCAGCUUAUAACACUCUAAUUUAAUAUGCCCUUUUUUUCUUGCAAAAGUUACAAGUUUUACAUCUGUUUGAAGACUUUGAUCUACCUUUAGAUUUACCUCGAGAAUUUCAUUCCUAUGUCAUUCCACGAUCAUCAUUAGCAUUUCGAUCUUGUCUCCCACAAACAAUGAGACUCUCUCCCUGAGAGUCGAGUUUAACUAUAAGAUGCUUUAUCUUAUUAUACGAGGUCAAAGAAUCAUAAACCUCAUCAACUGUAAGAGACUCGCGGCUAUAUAAAAUUGUGUCUUUAAAGGUUGAAUAAAACAGGGAAACAAACAAAGUAAAAUCAACCCUAGAUCUUCCUUAUCAUAAUGAACCUCCAUGGCCUCCAAGUUUGAGAGAAUUUCUUUAAACACUGUUAAGUGUUCGUGCACAGACACACCUUUCUCCAAACGAUGAGCAUAAAGACGCUGCUUCAUAUGUAACUUGUUGGUUAGAGUUUUCGAUAUACAUAUUUGUUCCAGCCUCUUCCAUAAUGCAGCGGCGAUCUUUUCCUUCUUCACAUCCUGCAAAAUUUCGUUAGACAAAUGCAGAUGUAAUUGUGUUAAUGCCUUUCGAUCCUUACGCUUCUUCUCUUCAUUCGUUAUUGUCGAAGGCAUCAUAUCUAUCCCUAGCAGGGCAUGCUCUAGAUCUAUCUGCGCAAGAACUACUUGCAUCUUAAUCUGUGACAAUGCAAAUCUGGUGUUACGAUCCAACAGCAGAAUUUCAUACUUCAAAAAUGUUAUUACCGUGAUCAAGAUGAACAACCCGAAAGCUCAGAUAUAAAUUUGUGAAAAAAUAGAAUGUCGGUAAUGACAAUAUAUCGCAAAGAAAAGAUAAAUAAAAAUAAAGAACACACAAAUUUUUACGUGAAAACCCUUUCGGGAAAAACCACGGGCAGAGGAGAAGAAAAUUUACUAUGUCGAAUUCGAAUGAUUACAAGAGGAAUAGACUAUGUCUAUUUAUAGGCUUUUAAAACCAUAUUCUAAUAGGAGUGUAGUAAGAUUGAAACACCUUAUUCUAAUCAAUAUAAAAAAGGUGGAGUUUAAUAAGAUAUAAAAAACCUUAUUCUAAAAUAAAAUAAAAGAAGUGUAGUUCUAUAUGGAUUUUACUUUUAUAUUAUUUUACCACUGUAUUUUAUUUAAAUAAGGAUUCGGAUCACUUAAUUCUAACACUAACCAUGAACAAGAAAUAACUCGAAAAUUAAUUUAUAUCUUCGAGUUAUUAUUUAAUAAUGAAAUAAAAUUAAUUAAGUCAUCAUAGUUUCACGAGAACAAGUUAAUUAAAUUAGUUUGCUCAUAAAUUAUUGUAUGAUAAAGUCAUCAGAACUUUAACAGAAUUAGAAUUGGAUAGAGAAAAUAAUUUAAUUAGUAUAAUUAAUUAAAAUUAUACAAAGAAUAAAAAGCAUUUUGGGCAUAUCAAAAUCAAUUUAUCGAGUUGGAUAAACAAUAUAAGUUGGUUUAAAGAUCAAAUAACACAUAUAAUUAACUAAAUACAAGACUAGGUCUGACAAGGCUAAUUUAAUUGCAAGGGGUGUCAAAGCCUAGUCCUAGAAUAGGGUUGCAUGCCCUAUAGUACUCCGAGUAGGAGUUGUAUUUUUCUAUUAAAAUAUUAUUAUUCGGUUAACACUUGUUUAAUUAAAACUCUUGUUAUUUUCUCUAUAAACAAAGAGUAAGGGUUAAGUUAAAAAAAAUAUACUUACACUUUUUACAUACAUCAAUAUUGUUUCAAAAUAUAGAAAGAUUAUUUUCUCAAAUAAAUUAUAUCUUUUAACAAGAAUUUAUCUUUCGGUUUCUAGAUUUUUAAAGUUUUACAUUAAAGGUUUCAUCGAUUAUUGAUAGAGCCCACACUCUUACAAAUCAAGGUCAAAAAUAGUUAAAAAGAUCGAGUGGUUGAAAGUUAGGAACAAUUUUAUCCACCUCGUACAAAAUACAAAUAUGAUGUAAGUAAAUAGGUUUUGUUAUAAACAUUACAACUAAUCAAUUUCGAAAGAAAAUUUUUAAAAUUUUGCUGUGCACUAUUAUGUUGUUUUUAAAUCGAUUUUUCCAACAUACUCUCAUUUUUCUCAUAAAUUCCUUCGUUAACAUUUCAAUUUUUUGUUAUGAGUUCAUUGUCCAUGAUUGUGCUGCCUAAUCACCCUUACAAUUCUGCUUUGAAAAAGCAUCGCUCAAAAACUCAGCUAACCUUUUUCCAAAUCAUCCGACUAGUAUUUACGAUCAAAGCAACCAGUAAACAUACAACAACUGAGAAUACUCUACCCUAGCAAUUUAUUAAAAUAAUUAUGUUUCUAUUCGAGCUGUUCAAUGGUAGGGUCGGGCCAUGGCAAAAUUUUAAGCUUGAACUCGGUUUAAAAAAUGGGCUUAAAAUUUUGUCCAAGUCCGACCCCGAUAAAAUGUUAAAAUUCAAGUUCGACUCAAUCAUCUGUAUUAAAAUUUUUUAUAUUAUUAUUUUUAUAUAAAAAUAAAUUUAAAAAAUAUAAUACAUCAAAUACACUAAAAAUAUUAAAAUAAAUAUUUUUUAACAAAUUGAAAACAAAUUAAAAAGUAUUUAUAUUAAGAUAAGUGCAAUUUAACAAGUAAAUGCCUCUAAAAUAGUAACAAAAUUAACAAUAAAAUUAUACAAUAGCCAAACAAUAACAAUAAAAUAGUAGCAAUAUAAUAGCGAAACCACAACAAAACAGUAACAAAACAGUGAUAAAACAACAACAAUUUUUUUCACAAGGUCGAGCAAAAAAAGCUAACUUGAAGCCUGAUCUUAUUUUUUGUCUAAACUCAUUUUUUAAGUCUAUAUUUUUAUUCAAAUUCUCUCACUUUUCAAGUGAACCUUUAAACCAAACCGAAUAACCCGCUUAUCCACAAUUCUACUCCCUACUACAUGAAAUUUCACUCAUCAUUCAAACAACGUGACUAAAAACAUAUAUUAUAUUAGAUACAUGUGAAAACACUACCCCAAAAGUGUGAAACUGUACAGGUAUAGAAGGUGUUGAUUGAGACUUGAUCCAAUUAAAAACAAGAUUAAUUAAUUAUUAAACUUUGAUUACAUAAAGUAUUGAUGUUUAUAGGAAACAGUAAACCCUAAUGUACAACCUUUUAUUUUUAUUCAAAAGCCUUGUCACUCUUUGCCACUAUUCCCAUAAUAAAAGCUUUUUAUAUUGACAACCAAUCGUAAGUCAACACCUUUCAAGGAUUUAGCAUGUAAAUGAUGCAUCCACAAAAGAUAAUGAGAAAGAAAAAAAAUAACCAAGUUAGUAGGUAAUCACACAUAAUUAAAAAUAUAUAAAAAAAAUAGACAAUUAAUCAGAAAGUAAACAACAAAAUGUGAGGAUGAACACUUAUUUUGGUGACCACUAAUAGAAAAAGGUUGGUCACGGCUUUGAUAGAGUGAGCUCAAAUGGUUGAUUAUAUGUGGUUUGGGUUUUAGAAGAGUACUCCAAUUAUUUUUAUGAAAAUUUAUUAAAGUUGGGUAAAAGAUAAUUCGAGGGAUAUAGUUCUUUAUACCUGGGUAUAGAACUCAAUGUGUGAAUAAAAAAUCCAAUUAUUUACUAAAAUAGUAGAAAAGCACAAGUAAAAAGUUUUGUUUUUGUUUCGUAAAAACAUGAAAAAAAAAUUAUAUGAUGCAUUAAUGAAAAAGAAAGAAAACAAGUUAGAUUCAAAAAAUGGUGGUAUCAUAAUUAAAUAUCAACUGAACCAAUGCAAAUUGAACUUUACCCUUGAUUUGUAAGAAAUGUCUUCAGUAGAGUCGCUAAAUUUUCAAAAUCAUUUUUAACCAAAAUUAGUUAGACGAUAUUGGAUAAAGAUAUGGAAAAUACAUUAGUUUUUGUUUAAAUAAAAAGAAAAGAGUCAGCUACCAAUCAUUUGUCUAGGUGUGAUCGUACACCUAUAACCAAUUCUUUUAAAAAGAUAAUUAUUUGAUCUGUAUUUUGGAAAUCAUGGAAAAUUUGAGUUUGAAAGUCGAUUAUAUAGUUUUAAAUUUCAUAUAUUUAAAAUUUGAAUCAUGUAAAAAUUUUUUUUGAAUAGACAUACAUUUCAUUAAUUGAGUGAAUUCGAUUUAGAAAUUAAAAAGUAAUAAAUUUAUUUUAAUUUUUUAAACAUUCAAUAAUUUUAAGGACAUUUUAACAUUAAAAAUAAUAAAUGAGAUCUCAUCCAGUAAUUUCGAUAACUAUCUCAUCAAUUUUCUCUAAUGCUAGUUGCUAAAUGUUACCAAACAAUAAUUUAAUGAUAAAUUAAUAUUAAAUAAAGGUAUAAUGACUUAAUUAAUCCUCCAACUUUAUAAGAAAAAAAAGUUAUUUUAGUCUUAUAUUUAAAUUUUCGCUUCUUUUAACCUUUAAACAUAUUUCAUUAGUAUAUCUUUAUUAAUAGAUUAAUUAAUUCUUUUUGAAGUUAUUGAGUAAUUAUUUUCUAUAGAAACUAUUAUAAAAUGAUUUGUACCAAUUAUCAUUGGGCUUGUAGUGCCAAGCCCAAGUUUUCUGUCGAUCAUUUUGGGCCUGAGUUUUUCAAUGUCAAAGAACAAAAGAGUAAUUAUAAGAUGGUAUAAUUAUAAAUGGUUUUAAUCUUUAAAAUUUUUUUGACUAUAAUUACAUCUUAUACAAAUAAAAAAGGUUGGAAAUUAUUAUCACUAAUCACUUCACGCAAUUCUUAACCUCUUCUAAGAAUUAUAGCAAAUAAUUGACUCUAAAUACUUUUAGUUUAACAAAAUUACUAAUUGUAAUAAUUACCCUACUAUAUUAUAAAUAUGUAAUUAUAAGCAAUUACAAACACACGUCAUUUCAUAUAUUUUAUCAUAUUGAUGUUUAAAAUAUUUUAUAUUUAUCGUAUAUUUAAAUCAUUUUAAGUGACGAUUAUAAUGAGAACUUUUUAUGAUAAAAAGCACAACACUCGAUCAUUCUCUUGGUUUGAUGCAAAAUAGAAGUUGAUGUUAUUGAUUUAAAAAAUCCAAAAUUACAAAUCAUCCUAAGGUUACAUGAUGUUUGUAAUAGAAAUUUAGGUUUUGAUUUUGCGGAAUCCAUGUUCAAGCCGUUUUUCUUUUUAUUUUUCAGUCCAUGAUUAUAGCAUGAACAAAUAAUUAUAUCAUGAGCUAAAAACACAUUUUAUUUCUCAUUGUUAUCAUUAUGGUUGCUAUGUGUUGUUUUAAUAAUGUUAUGGUGUCUAGUAUUACCAUAUCUACUUAUUACCCUUCAUUGUACACUCUCGAGAAACAAAAUAAGUAAAAGAUAAGAGUAGAAAAUCAAUUAAAAGUUGAAAAAAUACAUUAAUUAUAAUCUUUAAAAUAUAGUGUCAUUUGACACUGCCUAAUAGAAAACAGCCCCGAGUGAAAAUAUUUCAUGAUUCUUCAACAAUUAUUUAUUAUUGGUUUACAAGCUAAGUGGAAAUAAUAAAGCAAUCUCCUAUAUUUAUAAUAGAAUUUUUAUUACAAAGAAAUGGCAACAAACUCUUCCACUAGGUGUUGACAAAAACAUUAAAACCACAACAUUCUCAUGAAAAAUGGAGUAUUUAAGAAAAUUCAAGUUGAUGAAAGCAAGGGCCGAUGUUGCCGGUUCUGCAACCAUUCAAGUCUAUAUAUUUGCCGGUUCCAAGUUCAACGGUUCUUGUAACUCUGAAUUGAUAGGGAAAAGGUUACAUUGUGCAUAUUGUGCCAUUAAUUGGUCCACAAGCACCAACGCUACCAUCGC
rnacentral:lncRNA from 1 species